GUUAGUGGAAGCGUCUGGAAAGGCGCGCGAUACAGGGUGACAGCCCCGUACACAAAAAUGCACAUGCUGUGAGCUCGAUGAGUAGGGCGGGACACGUGGUAUCCUGUCUGAAUAUGGGGGGACCAUCCUCCAAGGCUAAAUACUCCUGACUGACCGAUAGUGAACCAGUACCGUGAGGGAAAGGCGAAAAGAACCCCGGCGAGGGGAGUGAAAAAGAACCUGAAACCGUGUACGUACAAGCAGUGGGAGCACAGAGCAAUCUGUGUGACUGCGUACCUUUUGUAUAAUGGGUCAGCGACUUAUAUUCUGUAGCAAGGUUAACCGAAUAGGGGAGCCGAAGGGAAACCGAGUCUUAACUGGGCGUUAAGUUGCAGGGUAUAGACCCGAAACCCGGUGAUCUAGCCAUGGGCAGGUUGAAGGUUGGGUAACACUAACUGGAGGACCGAACCGACUAAUGUUGAAAAAUUAGCGGAUGACUUGUGGCUGGGGGUGAAAGGCCAAUCAAACCGGGAGAUAGCUGGUUCUCCCCGAAAGCUAUUUAGGUAGCGCCUCGUGAAUUCAUCUCCGGGGGUAGAGCACUGUUUCGGCAAGGGGGUCAUCCCGACUUACCAACCCGAUGCAAACUGCGAAUACCGGAGAAUGUUAUCACGGGAGACACACGGCGGGUGCUAACGUCCGUCGUGAAGAGGGAAACAACCCAGACCGCCAGCUAAGGUCCCAAAGUCAUGGUUAAGUGGGAAACGAUGUGGGAAGGCCCAGACAGCCAGGAUGUUGGCUUAGAAGCAGCCAUCAUUUAAAGAAAGCGUAAUAGCUCACUGGUCGAGUCGGCCUGCGCGGAAGAUGUAACGGGGCUAAACCAUGCACCGAAGCUGCGGCAGCGACGCUUAUGCGUUGUUGGGUAGGGGAGCGUUCUGUAAGCCUGUGAAGGUGUGCUGUGAGGCAUGCUGGAGGUAUCAGAAGUGCGAAUGCUGACAUAAGUAACGAUAAAGCGGGUGAAAAGCCCGCUCGCCGGAAGACCAAGGGUUCCUGUCCAACGUUAAUCGGGGCAGGGUGAGUCGACCCCUAAGGCGAGGCCGAAAGGCGUAGUCGAUGGGAAACAGGUUAAUAUUCCUGUACUUGGUGUUACUGCGAAGGGGGGACGGAGAAGGCUAUGUUGGCCGGGCGACGGUUGUCCCGGUUUAAGCGUGUAGGCUGGUUUUCCAGGCAAAUCCGGAAAAUCAAGGCUGAGGCGUGAUGACGAGGCACUACGGUGCUGAAGCAACAAAUGCCCUGCUUCCAGGAAAAGCCUCUAAGCAUCAGGUAACAUCAAAUCGUACCCCAAACCGACACAGGUGGUCAGGUAGAGAAUACCAAGGCGCUUGAGAGAACUCGGGUGAAGGAACUAGGCAAAAUGGUGCCGUAACUUCGGGAGAA
rnacentral:rRNA from 1 species